rnacentral:lncRNA from 1 species
ACUAUGUGGGAGGCUGAGGCAGGAGAAUGGAAAGUUAAAGGCUGGCCUCUGUGUGCGUAUGAGUUUUGACAUAAAUCUCUCAGGACUAAGGGAAACUUCCCAGAUUCAAGAGGCCCAGUGAAUCAAGUUAGGACAAAGAAUGAAAUAACAAUUCACAUUUAGACUCAUUGUAACGAAAUUGAGCUACCUCAAAAAUAAAUAGAACACCAUAAUGGGACUUUCUAAGAUCUACCAACAGUUUAAAGAUGUGGAGGCUCUUACAUAUAUUAAGAGCUUAGCCUUUAAUACUCUGUGUGUGUGUACACACAAUAUUUGAUAGGCUUGAUAUUAGCCCUAGCUGUCCUGGAACUAAUUAUGUAAACUAAGCUAGUCUUCAACUCACAAAGACCCUCCUGCCUAUGCCUCUAAGUUACUGGGAUAGUAAAUUAGACCAGCAGCCUUCUUAACAACGGCAAAAGAAUUAUUUUAGUAUUAAAAAAAAUGCUUAACCAUUUAUCUCUCUCUUAUUUGUUUCUUUGUUUAUUUAAUGUAUGUGAGUACGCUGUCACUGUCCUCAGACACACCAGAAGAUGGCAUUGGAUUCCGCAUUACAAAUGGUUGUGAGCCACCAUGUGGUUGCUUAUAAUUGAACUCAGGACAUCUGGAAGAGUAGCCAGUGCUCCUAAUUACUGAGCCAUCUCUCCAGCCCUAUCUCUUCUUUUAAUAGCUAAAUAAUUCUUUGUAGUAGCCGAAACUGUGUGGUCUACUCAGAAAUUAAAUUAGGCACUCUUGAACAUCCUGCUGGCUACCCUUGUUCAAAUGAUUGUGAACUUCAAAGGCGAUAGAAACCAUGUGGCCCCCACUCCCCAUUCUGGGAAUUCACUGCUGUGUCAGUAGGACAGGAAAACACACCGGCAUGUUUUUGUGUGUGUGUUAUUUACAUAGAAAUACUUUCUCCAAUUGGAACGUGAUGGAUGGAGAUGGUUUAUGGUGACAAGGUGCACACACGGUGCCUCUGACAUAUCAAAAAGAAUAUGUUUUGCUUGUAAGUGUCCUUGCACUGAGGAUAAAGACGCUAUGGAAAUUAACAAUGAAGAGAUUUCCAGUAGAGAGAAAAAAGGACGCACAGCAUAGCCCUGGUCAGCACAGGCAGUGAGUGUUCUUUCAGAUUCCAGAUCCUGACUUUGGCUCCAGCUAUCAGUUGGGAUCCUCAACGGACCACAAUGAAGGUCCUCCACUUUCGAGUUCUGUGGUGCUGAAUUGUCCUCGUGUGAAGAGUUGGCACUCUGGUAAACAGAAUUUAAGAUUCUCUUGCUUCACGAAACACUGGAGAAAAUACAGUCCCUUCAGCAAGUGGUGCUGGAAAACCAUUAUCUAGAUGUAAAAGGAUGAGACUAGAGCCUUCCCUCUCGGUCCGUGUAAAAAUUAACUCCGGCAGAUCCAAGAGCCCAGUGUAAAACCUGAACUCUGAAACCGUUACCACAGAAAGUAUGGAAAACCCUUGGAGCUAGAGGCAUAGGCAAGGGGCUUCUGAGCAGAAAUCCCAUCUCUCGGGAAACAGUGCCAACAAUCAGCAGAGGGGACCUCACGCAACUCCAGAGCUCCUGGACAGCAAUAGAAGCAUUUAAUGGAGUAGAGCAAGAGUUUAUAGAGCUGGGGGAUGUACGGUACCUACCUCUGUAUGUGACAGAGGACUCAUAUCCAGACUAC